CUACUGUUACCAUUCAACACAUACUUCCUUCUCUCUCUUCCUAACUUUUCUAUUUUCUCCUUCUCCUUAGUUUUCCCCUCAGGGUUAGAUCUCAGGCGUUUUGCGACAUACUGUGUAUAUAUAUUUAAUAUAAUCUAUAUCCAUAUAUCUCUUCCUUCUGAUUCUAAUCCGAUCUAUAAUCUAUUUCAAGCAUACAUAUAUAUAAAUAUGAAAUAUUUGGAAGUACCCUUUUUUUAUUUUCUUUUGAGAAACCUCUCCUUCCUAGCUAUAUGGAUUUGCCAAGGUACGUGAGUCUUUCCCUCUUUAAGGGAUUACUGUUGGGUUUUGAUUCAUACAUCAGGGGUUCCUUUUUUUUCUUUUUCAUUUUUAAAUCUCUUUCCUUAAGUGAAAGUAUAUGGCUUUUAAUCGAUACAACAAAGCCUGUAGAUUGUAAAAGUAUAGUUAACAGGCUUUGAACCCCGUUUGUUUUGAUUUUCUGGAGGUUCUGAAAGUAAGCGCUUUUGUUGUUCUUUAUAGAGUUGUUGUUGUUGAAUUUUCUUGUUUUUUUUUUCUUUUUUUUUAAUUGGGGUUUUGGCUUUUCUUUUGUUCUUGAGGUAUGAAUUGAGUUCAUGUGGUUAGAUUCCAUUUGGGUACCCCAACUGGCCUCGUGUGCCAAACAUACACUAACCACUGGCAACAAGCCACAUCAGCUACUCCUCGUGGCCUUGCUGCUAAAAUUCCACAUAAAAUCUCAAUUUUCCGUGUCCCCUCUUUCUUUUCUAUUUUUUACCCGCUCUUUGCUUUCUCUCUGUUUGAUGUUGUUCCCCCCUUCUUUUUAUUUUAUUUUCUCUCUAGACAAUUUUCCGUGACAUUAAUUGGUCUUCACUCUGAGUAACCUAUAAGUCUUUUUACCCCUAUAUAAGUUUCACUAAGUUUGGUAAUAAUGCAAGCUUCUAAAUAUAUAUGCGCAUAUGUGUAUAUGUACCUUUCUUUGUCAGCAGCUAUAGUUGCAUGGACAGAUUGACAGUCGUUGUUUGCGGAUGUAGCAUCAUCAAGAUUCACAUGCAAAUGAAGGUGGGUGGGACUAUGAUGCAAUCCAAGUGCUCUGCCAAUCCAUCGGUCUUUUUGAUGUGAGAAUCUUGAUGAUGCUGCAUCAGCCAUAAACGGCUUUAAAAAGUUGAACAAGUACUAGUUGAACCCCCCAAUAAAAGAGAGGAGAUAAAAAAAAAGUGUGUGUAGGUCUACACACAGCUCAGACUUCCAGAUACUGUCCAUGAGAUCAUGAUGCAUAACAAGACAGACAAUCCUAGGUUAUCGAACAUUGGCUAUUUGGAUUUUGGAGGCUGAGUGGAGCGGCUGUUAGGUCCUUUAUGUGCUGACUUCACAGAUCUAUGAGUAUUCCUUUUCAACAGAAAAUGCUCGAAAAAUGGUGUCUUUUCAGGUUUCUUAAUAUAUAUUGAAACAUCACUUUAUCCAAAUCUAGCUAGAGGCAAUAAAGACCACACAUAAUACAGAGAGAGAAAUUAAUAUUUGGAUGUUAGGUUGCUGAGUGGUGUUCAUGUUGCCUAUAUUAUUAUAGUAAUUGUUUUAUUUAGAUCAUCAGUAUUUAGCUUCCAGUUAUUCAGAUUCAUUGAUCAUAUCUAUCAAAUUCUAUAACCUUAAACUUUUACCUAAUGUUAUACUAAAGAACUUCAGCCUGCA